rfam:Gossypium raimondii Chr11_contig_933, whole genome shotgun sequence.
AAUUCAUGGUGUAGACAUUUUUGAAUCAACAUUUUAAAACGUUCUCAUGCCUCAUAAAAGCUUUUUGUCUCCAUCUGUCCAAAUACAACAAUCUCUCAUCUUAGUU